AGCCUGCACAAUAAUAAUUUCCCUAGAAUUUAAGGGCUUAUUCUCCAGUUGUUCUAACUCAGCUCUAUUAAUAUCACUGGAGUUACAUUAGUUUGCCCUGACUAAUAUCCUUUAGUUAUGCAGACAAGCAAAUAAAAUUACUUUAGCUGUUCUUUUAAAGUCAUUCCCAAACACCAUCUGAGAGGCUCCCUCGGUACAAAAAACAAACCCCAAGCACAGGACCCCGACACAGCCCUGGACUGGCUGCACAUUCCAUAUUGAGGGUCAACAGGAGUUCCACAAGGAUACCCUCGGUCACUGCUUCCUCACAGCCACUUCAGAGGGAGGGGAAGAAAGGGUUUGAAAAACAUUCCAGAUUUCAGCCGAGUUUCUGUAGCUGUGCAGACACAGGAGUCGCUGAAAUGUCCGGAGGGACAGCCCCAGCAAGCCUGUGACCUUCUAUGACAAACCGGACUAUGGCAUUUCAGAAGGGAUUUAGCUGGGAUUGUUAAACAUGUGCCAAAGAGAGAACUGCUUCUUGGAUUUUUUCAAUCAAGGAGCACUAUAUUUGGACUGGAAACAGCCUGUGGAUGAGCAGGAAUAACCAUUAGAAGGCAAGUGAAAAGUUUCAAGCAGAUACUACGGUCAAGGAAGAAACAACGCGAAGGUAUCUGGGCAAGUUUCCAUACUGACUGAAGCAACACUUUUCCCAUGACAUCAGACUCAAAACAACCAAUAUAUUAUAGUCCAUAUGUUGAUUAAGGAAAGCCCAAGCCGUGCAGAGCCAUGCACCAGCCUUCAGAACAGCGGCUGAAGAAAAGCUGGAUCGCUUGCAAGCCAUGGGAGUUAAUCAAACAAAUAAAAAGCCUCAGGUUUUCAGGAUAAGGCACCUGGGUCAGACUUCUCAGCACGAUGAGGUUGUGAAUCCUGAGGUCCAGUCUGAAACCACUGGUGUAGAAAUUAAGGACCUGCCAUUGUUCCAUACUCACUUGCAAGUUGCUCAGGG
rnacentral:lncRNA from 1 species